UGGGGAAUAUUGCACAAUGGGCGAAAGCCUGAUGCAGCAACGCCGCGUGAGUGAUGAAGGUCUUCGGAUUGUAAAGCUCUGUCUUUUGGGACGAUAAUGACGGUACCAAAGGAGGAAGCCACGGCUAACUACGUGCCAGCAGCCGCGGUAAUACGUAGGUGGCGAGCGUUGUCCGGAUUUACUGGGCGUAAAGGGUGCGUAGGCGGAUGUUUAAGUGAGAUGUGAAAUACCCGGGCUUAACUUGGGUGCUGCAUUUCAAACUGGAUAUCUAGAGUGCAGGAGAGGAGAAUGGAAUUCCUAGUGUAGCGGUGAAAUGCGUAGAGAUUAGGAAGAACACCAGUGGCGAAGGCGAUUCUCUGGACUGUAACUGACGUUGAGGCACGAAAGCGUGGGUAGCAAACAGGAUUAGAUACCCUGGUAGUCCACGCCGUAAACGAUGAGUACUAGGUGUAGGAGGUAUCGACCCCUUCUGUGCCGCAGUAAACACAUUAAGUACUCCGCCUGGGAAGUACGAUCGCAAGAUUAAAAC
rnacentral:rRNA from 1 species